rfam:Schistosoma rodhaini strain Burundi genome assembly, scaffold: SROB_scaffold0000358
AUCCUGCUGACGAGUCCUAAAUAAGAAGAAAUGCGCGUCCUGGAU